UGAGGUUUGGUCCUGCCAGGGCCAACGCUGCCAGCAGCGACGUUUGUCCGCCGCUUUUUAUCUGACGUAUGUGCACUUACGUUGACCGCUGUUGGGUGUUGUGUGGUGGAUGUUCUCUGGCUGUGUCGCGUGCAACAAGAACAGUAGAAGAGUUUCUGAACUCCGGUCGCCUCGGCAGUGGGCCAUUGGCCAGCAAAGUUGCGUGUUCCUAAACCCAUAGUUCAUACCGUGUCGUCUGGCGUGGACGUAGACCACUGUUGGGUACUGUGUCGCGUACAGCAAGAACCCUGUCCGCCCCGGCAGUGGGCCAUUGGCCAGCAAAGGCACACAGCGAUCGGACUGAGCAUAUCAAGUAGCCCCUCCUGUGACCCACAAGACCACACUCAUUCGGCCGAGGAGCCUGUCUGGACUUACGUUGAGAGUGCUGGCAGACAGUUUGCUUUUCUGGACUUAUGUUGGGACUGCUGGUGGACAGUUUCGGUUUUAGUCUUCAGCUGGUGCACAGUUCACUUUUAUCACACCGCCUCAUUUCUUUUGAGUGUAUCUGCGUUCUCUAGACAUUUAGCCUGUGUUCUUACACGUUGAGAGUACUCCUAUGGUUUACAGCAUUGCUUUGCUCAUAUAAACUUUUGUGAUACUGCCUUGUUGCUUUCGACUCACUUCAUUCUCUUGUCAUUUCGCCAGUAUUGAAACACUCUUAUGAUUGUAUGUGCAGUAAUCUUUCAGGGCAAUGCAUCGUACUCAUUGUGUGU